rnacentral:misc_RNA from 1 species
CGUUCGACCAUCAAUCCACAAACACACAGCUGAACAAGGUAGACGAGGAGCGGUGAGUAGUGUUGUCUGGCGAAUUUUUCACAAAAAAUCCGGUUAAAAUAAAUUGAAAUAUCGUUUCGAAUAACUAAAAUCUGUUAGUUUUCACGGAAUUAAAUCGAUUGGCAUAAGUGUCACGGAGAAUUAUUGCGUACGGAGUUGGAAAAACAGUUUUGAAAGUCGGCGUCAUAGUGCAAAGUUGUAGAGGCCAGCGGCCAUAGUUUUUCGUUUUCGUACGUUGUCCGUUUGUAUAGUGUCGCGGGCGCAGUUGUGUAUAGUACGCUCGUCGGGGGAAAAGUCAUUUGCGAAUUUUCGUAGUCAUUUUUGCUUGUUUACUGUUUUGAAUAAUUGAAAGGCGAUCGGGACGAAUUGGCGGACCAGGUGGAGUUUUCAGGGAUCCGAGACUAUUCGCAGGUGUUAAAAUGCUGAUGUCUUAGCAGAAACUAACAGAACUUCAUAACAGUUCUGUCUGAUAUUUUGUCAUUAUUAAACGCCAAAUAUCCCGAUGGUGCCGUAUUUUAUUUAAUUCGAUAAAUAUUAACGAAUACUGUUCUGACCUCUUCUGAUUUGUAUAUUAAAAACCAGAAACCAAAAUGUUCUCAUUUCACAAACCAAGAGUUUACCGAUCAACAGAAGGUUGUUGUAUAUGUCGUGCUAAAUCUAGCAGUUCGCGGUUUACAGACUCCAAAAAAUAUGAAGACGAUUCAGUGAAAUGUUUUAAUCUGGAAAAACCGCGUCAAGGAGAAAUCUGUAAUGCUUGUGUGCUCCUCGUGAAACGAUUUAAACGCUUGCCUGUAGGAAGUAAUCGUCAUUGGGGCCAUGUUGUUGAUGCUCGAAUUGGGCCUGGAAUGAAAUCCAUUUCGAAAUUUAAGAAACUUAAAGAAGAAAAUCAGCAACAAAUAAGACAGAAUUCAGCAGAUAAUAAAAUGGCAAUUGGAAGUAAAAUAUCAUCGGUUUCCGAAAAAUUUUGUAAGAUAUUCCGUAAAAAUAAGAAGAAGCGAUUUGAGGAUAAGAAAGUCGAUGAUAAUUCAUCGGAUGAAAAUUCUUCACCCGACACGCCCGAAUCUCUGAAUAGCGACGAAGAAGGGACUUAUCGUAGUCGACGUCGUCGUUUGUCCGGUAUAAAAAGGAGGAAAAGCACGAAGCCAAUGAAGCUGUUAAAAAGAAAUUUGGAAGCGGUUGGCUUCUUCGACGAGAACGAUUGGGUAUCGAGAUGGGCCUGUUGUGGCGUUAUAUAUGAAAAUGUCAAAAUUGGUGCUCUAAUUAUAGAUUACGAGAAGUGUAAACCGUGUCCAGAACAUAUCGACUUCUUCAAGUCUACUUUUAUCAAACCACCGCAAAAAAAUACAAAUGAUACUUCAUUCGAUAAGACUGAACUGAAAACUCCGUAUGCACACAAUCAUUCGAAUAUUCAACACAAUGCAAUGAGUGUAUAUUCAAACGGAAAUCUGCCUCAGACUGCCGACCCUAUAAGGAUGGGUGUCACUGCAGUUGUCGGCAAGAACCAUUCUGCUCUUAAGAAGCAUCAUCUUUAUUACAAACGACAAGCUGAGAAUAUCGCUCGCAAUGAAUGCUCGUCUACCAAAAAUGAAGAAGAUUCUCAUUAUAACAAAGAAGCAAAACUGUCUAAUUCUCACGUAUCACAACAAAAUGGUCAUGAUAUUAAAAUGGCAUCUAAUUCGAAAUCGAAACAUUCAUUUUUACAUAAAAUCAAAUCAGACGCAAACAAAUUAGUGAAAUCGUCAUUAGAAAAAGUCUCAACAAGUUCAUCUGCAUCGAAAGCCCAGGAGGUGAGUGAAAGUAAAGACACAAAGGCGGUUGUCAUUUCAGCGACACCUGCCCUACCUUCCAAUGUGCCACAGACUGCUGUUGCGACCGUUGAUGCAAAUGGUGCAACAAAAUUCAGCGAUAAUUCUUCAGAUUCCGGUUUCGACGAGAAUUUAGCCGAUUUGAGUCAGUUGGAAAAGGAAAGAAAAAUUUAUAUUCGGCCAAUUGAAUCGCUGUUUAUUGCUUCGACGAUUCCAAUAACCAUCCCGGCACCACCUGGCACGAAGAAACCAUCGAUAAGCAUACAGAAAACGAUUCAUACGCCACAAAAUAUUGCCCUCUUGAACAAUCAAAAUAUUCGUGCAAUAUACAGUGCUCACGCAGAUGGAUCGAUAGCACGUCGCGAUAUAAAACUGCCGCUUAAAACAGACAGUUUAAACCCAGCUUUGUUGUCUCCGGCAAUAUGCAGCACGUCGGCAUCAACGCAUAAUAAUCACAACAAGAAAAUCUUUUACGUUAAAGGAAAACAAAAUAUUGAAGCUUCAAAUAAUUGACGGUGAUAUCUUUUGGUAUCCUUAGAGUAAAUUUUGUAUUAUUUACUAAGCGCCUUCGCGCAAACAGUAUUUAUACAAUUUAAAAUACAAAAAAUAUGAGAAAAAAAAACUUGAAAACCAUUUUAGAAAAAUAUGAAAAAAAAAAGAAUAGUAAACGAAACUGCCAUGAAAUUAUUAUGACAGGAUAUCAAUAUCUACAAUAAGGCUGAACCACACACUCUAGAUUGAAUAGGAAACAAUUUUGUAUCUUAAAUGUAAUUUUUGCAGAUUUAUACGUCGUAAAUGAGAGUAGGAAAACCAAUAGUAAUAGUAUUCCGAUGAGCAUAUAUUGUACUCUAUGAUAUUCAGAUAAUUGUAUAGAACGUGAAGAUUGACUUGGUUACGCCAAUGUAAUUUGAAGAUUUAUGGGGAAUUUGGUGCGAGGGACGAACGUGAAAACUCGAAGCCCGCAAAUUAGAUUUCUUCCGACCGGAGGCUUUGUUUUCAAAAUAUGUUUCGAUCUGGUUAGUAGCACUCUUUGAGUCAGGUUCUGUACAAUAUGUGUAACCGAAUCAGUAUUGCUUUUUGAUGGGUAAAUUUCUCCAAAAGGCUAUCUUCUUUGAUGUGCAAUUAUUAUGUUAUAUUUUAGUGCGUUUGCAAAUCGUCGAAUUUGGAUUUUAGUUUAUUCAAACAAUCGUGAUAUAUUUUGUUGGUAAUAUAUUUGGAAAUUAUUAAAUUCAAGGCAAGAAAGAGAAGAAGUUAUCUUAUUUUUGAUAAUGAAACUCGGCCAAUUAUUUUGAGAAGUAAUUGAAAUUUAAUUGAUGCUAAGUGUAAAGUAAAACUGUAAGUAAUGCUAAAAGUAAAGCUAAACCAAAUGCAUUUAGCAUCCCAAUGACUAUCAAUUUGAAGUUGUUGUGCAUGGUGGCGACUUAUCUUUUUAUUCCUUUAUUUUUAUUUGUAGUUGCUUGAGCCCUUCUCUCGUCACAAUUCAUUAUAUUGCUGUCCUUUAAUGGCCAAAAUUGCUGCAUUAUUGAGCAACGAAUUGUUUGUGUAUUUUGAACUAUUACAAAACGUAAUAAUUGCAUUUUUAUAAUCGAAAGCGCCAAUGUCAACAAAUAUUUAACUAAGAAAUAAUAUCUGAAAAUAUUCGAAAUGAAAUUGAAAAUUUUUCUUUCAAAUUUUCCCUUCUGAUUUUCACGUAACUUUUUAUUCAUUGAGAACUCAAAGAAUGUUAUUAUUACCUCCGCUAAACAAUAAUCGUGCAUAUACCACACACAAUUCCCAAUAAAUUUUCACGAUAUCAUGCUCUUGUGCCCUUCAGACUUAAAGCAAUAUUAUAUAAGGCCCCGGUCUCUAUGUAGUCAACAGAAUUGUCAUGUAUGCAUUUAUGAAGUAGGUAAAAUAAUGUUUUCUGGCUAUCAAACCAACACAAUUUUUGAAUAAAUGUUACAAAGUAUCGAAAUGAUGAAAAAAAUUGUACCUAAAUCAUACAUAAGAUAUUGUAGCUUAAAAUGUACAUAUGAAAUGGUACAAUAAAUUGUAUGUUAUUUCCAUUUGAAAGAA